rnacentral:rRNA from 1 species
GGAGUUAGCCGGUGCUUGCUAAGGAAGUACCGUCAGAUCUUCUUCCUUCCCCACAGUGCUUUACGACCCGAGGGCCUUCAUCACACACGCGGCAUGGCUGGAUCAGGCUUUCGCCCAUUGUCCAAUAUUCCCC